rnacentral:lncRNA from 1 species
UUUGAAGUAGAAAUUAGACUAUAUUAUAUGAAUUUACGAUAUAAUGUAGAAUUUAUAACUCGAUUUUCUUACUAUAAUAUGAUAUACCAAAUGUUAUAAUAUAUAUAUAUAUAUAUAUAUAUAUAUAUUUGUUUUAAAAUUUUCAAAACACAUCAUAAAUAGAAAAUAAAAUCUAUAUUUUUGUGAGUAUUUUAUAAAUUUGAAUAAUUGUUUUUAAGGAAGCUAGAAGAAAAAUAAGAUUAGAGGGAAACACAUUUUACAAUAAAAGAAAAAAGAAAAUAAAGAAAAAACAAAACCUCUAUAUAUGCUUAUACAGAGGGGCAUAAUUGCAAUUAAUACAUAAUAUAUAUGAGUAUUUGCACUCC